rnacentral:rRNA from 1 species
CGCAAAUUACCCAAUCCUGACUCAGGGAGGUAGUGACAAGAAAUAACAACACUGGAAAUUUUAUUUCUAGUGAUUGGAAUGAUGGGAAUUUAAACCCCUUUCAGAGUAACAAUUGGAGGGCAAGUCUGGUGCCAGCAGCCGCGGUAAUUCCAGCUCCAAUAGCGUAUAUUAAAGUUGUUGCAGUUAAAAAGCUCGUAGUUGGAUGUCUGCUGGAAGCAAUCAGUCCGCCCUAUUUGUAGGGUGUGCACUUGAUGAAUUCUGGCAUCUAUGUCCCAAUAAUAUGAUGGUGUAUACCCUGUGUACACCCAUCUAUAUUGGGAUAAUACCGUUACUUUGAGAAAAUUAGAGUGUUUGAAGCAGGCUAAUUGCCUUGAAUACUGCAGCAUGGAAUAACAAUAUAGGAUUUCGGUUCUAUUUUGUUGGUUUCUAGGACUGAAAUAAUGAUUAAUAGGGACAGUUGGGGGCAUUCGUAUUUAACUGUCAGAGGUGAAAUUCUUAGAUUUGUUAAAGACGAACUACUGCGAAAGCAUUUGCCAAAGAUGUUUUCAUUAAUCAAGAACGAAAGUUAGGGGCUCGAAGACGAUCAGAUACCGUCGUAGUCUUAACCAUAAACUAUG